rnacentral:rRNA from 1 species
UACGGGGGGUGCAAGCGUUAAUCGGAAUUACUGGGCGUAAAGGGCGCGUAGGCGGCUACUUAAGUUAGAUGUGAAAGCCCCGGGCUUAACCUGGGAAUUGCAUUUAAUACUGGGUAGCUAGAGUGUGGUAGAGAGUAGCGGAAUUUCUGGUGUAGCGGUGAAAUGCGUAGAUAUCAGAAGGAACACCAAUGGCGAAGGCAGCUACUUGGGCCAACACUGACGCUGAGGCGCGAAAGCGUGGGGAGCAAAC